rnacentral:rRNA from 1 species
ACGAACGCUGGCGGCGUGCCUAAUACAUGCAAGUAGAACGCUGAAGAGAGGAGCUUGCUCUUCUUGGAUGAGUUGCGAACGGGUGAGUAACGCGUAGGUAACCUGCCUUGUAGCGGGGGAUAACUAUUGGAAACGAUAGCUAAUACCGCAUAACAAUGGAUGACACAUGUCAUUUAUUUGAAAGGGGCAAUUGCUCCACUACAAGAUGGACCUGCGUUGUAUUAGCUAGUAGGUGAGGUAACGGCUCACCUAGGCGACGAUACAUAGCCGACCUGAGAGGGUGAUCGGCCACACUGGGACUGAGACACGGCCCAGACUCCUACGGGAGGCAGCAGUAGGGAAUCUUCGGCAAUGGGGGCAACCCUGACCGAGCAACGCCGCGUGAGUGAAGAAGGUUUUCGGAUCGUAAAGCUCUGUUGUAAGUCAAGAACGAGUGUGAGAGUGGAAAAUUCACACUGUGACGGUAGCUUACCAGAAAGGGACGGCUAACUACGUGCCAGCAGCCGCGGUAAUACGUAGGUCCCGAGCGUUGUCCGGAUUUAUUGGGCGUAAAGCGAGCGCAGGCGGUUUGAUAAGUCUGAAGUUAAAGGCUGUGGCUCAACCAUAGUUCGCUUUGGAAACUGUCAAACUUGAGUGCAGAAGGGGAGAGUGGAAUUCCAUGUGUAGCGGUGAAAUGCGUAGAUAUAUGGAGGAACACCGGUGGCGAAAGCGGCUCUCUGGUCUGUAACUGACGCUGAGGCUCGAAAGCGUGGGGAGCGAACAGGAUUAGAUACCCUGGUAGUCCACGCCGUAAACGAUGAGUGCUAGGUGUUGGAUCCUUUCCGGGAUUCAGUGCCGCAGCUAACGCAUUAAGCACUCCGCCUGGGGAGUACGACCGCAAGGUUGAAACUCAAAGGAAUUGACGGGGGCCCGCACAAGCGGUGGAGCAUGUGGUUUAAUUCGAAGCAACGCGAAGAACCUUACCAGGUCUUGACAUCCCGAUGCUAUUUCUAGAGAUAGAAAGUUACUUCGGUACAUCGGUGACAGGUGGUGCAUGGUUGUCGUCAGCUCGUGUCGUGAGAUGUUGGGUUAAGUCCCGCAACGAGCGCAACCCCUAUUGUUAGUUGCCAUCAUUCAGUUGGGCACUCUAGCGAGACUGCCGGUAAUAAACCGGAGGAAGGUGGGGAUGACGUCAAAUCAUCAUGCCCCUUAUGACCUGGGCUACACACGUGCUAGAAUGGUUGGUACAACGAGUUGCGAGUCGGUGACGGCAAGCUAAUCUCUUAAAGCCAAUCUCAGUUCGGAUUGUAGGCUGCAACUCGCCUACAUGAAGUCGGAAUCGCUAGUAAUCGCGGAUCAGCACGCCGCGGUGAAUACGUUCCCGGGCCUUGUACACACCGCCCGUCACACCACGAGAGUUUGUAACACCCGAAGUCGGUGAGGUAACCUUUUGGAGCCAGCCGCCUAAGGUGGGAUAGAUGAUUGGGGUG